GGAGGGCAUAGCUCGGUGGUAGAGCGUGUGCUGAAUGCGCACAAGGUCCUGGGUUCAACCCCCAGUGCCUCCA